GAAAAUAGGCUCACCUACCCGAUCUUGUCUGAUCUUGGAAGCUCAGCAGGGUCGGGCCUGGUUAGUACUUGGAUGGGAGACCAGCUAGGAAGACCAGGUGCUGUAGGUG
rnacentral:rRNA from 1 species